rnacentral:misc_RNA from 1 species
GAAACGCGAUAGGUAAUGUGAAUUGCAGAAUUCAGUGAAUCAUCGAAUCUUUGAACGCAUCUUGCGCUUGCUGGUAUUCCGGCAAGCAUGCCUGUUUGAGUGUCAUGAAACUUAUCAACCGUGACUUGGGUUUAGGCCCCUGGCUCGGCUUGGAUUUGGGUGCUUGCGGCCUUGCGUCGCUCACCUUAAAAGGAUUAGCUGGACAUGUCGUGAGACUUGGUUCUACUUGGCGUAAUAAGUAUUUCGCUGAGGACAUCCCCUCGUGGGGUGGCCAUGACUCUGGUACAGACGUCUGCUUUCUAACCCGAUCGUCCUCGGACAUCACUUUUUAUGAUCUGGCCUCAAAUCAGGUAGGACUACCCGCUGAACUUAA